rnacentral:rRNA from 1 species
GACGAACGCUGGCGGCGUGCCUAAUACAUGCAAGUCGAACGAGAGCGACCGGUGCUUGCACUGGUCAAUCUAGUGGCGAACGGGUGAGUAACACGUGGGUAACCUGCCCAUCAGAGGGGGAUAACAUCCGGAAACGGAUGCUAAAACCGCAUAGGUCUUCGAGCCGCAUGGCUUGAAGAGGAAAAGAGGCGCAAGCUUCUGCUGAUGGAUGGACCCGCGGUGCAUUAGCUAGUUGGUGAGGUAACGGCUCACCAAGGCCAUGAUGCAUAGCCGACCUGAGAGGGUGAUCGGCAACAUUGGGACUGAGACACGGCCCAAACUCCUACGGGAGGCAGCAGUAGGGAAUCUUCCGCAAUGGACGCAAGUCUGACGGAGCAACGCCGCGUGAGUGAAGAAGGUUUUCGGAUCGUAAAACUCUGUUGUUAGAGAAGAACAAGUGCUAGAGUAACUGUUAGCGCCUUGACGGUAUCUAACCAGAAAGCCACGGCUAACUACGUG